UGUGAUUGAUGAAGUUGGGAUGAUUACGAGUUGAUGUGAGACCGAAGAGCACACGAGUCGCCUCACUGGAGACAAACACCGUUCAGCUUCAGGGGCGAGGACGUGGAAUAUGAACCCUGGACUCUGAGACCCUGUGGGAGUACACCCUCUGAGCUGAAUAAAGAUCUGCCUGUACAGCGCUUCAGCUCCAAAUUCCCACUUGGAAAGUUGGAGCUGUUUGAGAGCUCUGAUUUCUCUGAGCGUAACAUGUGAAAAGGAAGAAGAAGACGAAAUAACAGACAGACAAGGAGACGACACAGCACCUGAAUUCACCUUUAUUUCUGAGUUCAGAUGCCUGAGUUUGCCGCAAUGCUCUAAUGUGGGAAGUAGGAGGGCCCGAGUUGGAAAAUUCUGAGAUCUCAGUUGUUGUGAAUGCAGCAUAGCUCCUUAGCCCCGCCUCUUUUCCUUAAAAUUGUAUAGUUGAUGUAGACACAGUUUUCACCUUUUAAAAAAGUCUUUUUUCCUUAAAAUGAUGUACAACAAGCAAAUAAAGGAUACCCAUAAUGCCCUGCGGCACUUAAAGGCAACACACACACAGCUGAAUCAUCAAACUAUUUCCCCCAAUAUCACUGCUGAGGUUUCUCCAGUGUGAGGAAGUUUUCAUGGCCUCAAUGUGGAGAAAUUGAUGUCAGUGUUUCCUUGCGUGUAUUUAGUGUGUAUUUAGCCUGUGUUUAGUGUGUGUUUAGCAUGUGAUUAGCGUGUUGUUUAGUGUGUAUUUAGCAUGUAUUUAGAGGGUGUUUAGCUUGUGUUUUGCAUGUGUUUAGUGUGUAUUUAGCAUGUGAUUAGCGUGUGUUUAGUGUGUGUUUAACGUGUGUUUUAGUGUGUAUUUAGCAUGUGUUUAGUGUGUGUUUAGUGUGUAUUUAGCAUGUGAUUAGCGUGUGUUUAGUGUGUAUUUAGCAUGUGUUUAGUGUGUGUUUAGUGUGUAUUUAGCAUGUGUUUAGUGUGUGUUUGUCGUGUGUUUAGUGUGUAUCUAGUGUGUAUUAGCAUGUGAUUAGCGUGUGUUUAGUGUGUAUUUAGCGUGUGAGUGCGUUUAGCGUCGCGUUUAGCAUGUGUUUAGCGUGUGUUUAGCGUGUGUUUAGCGUGUGUAUUUAGCGUGUGAUUAGCGUGUGUUUAGCGUGUGUUUAGCGUUUAGCGUGUUUAGCGUGUGAUUAGCGUGUGUUUAGCGUGUGAUUAGCGUGUGUUUAGCGUGUGUUUAGCGUGUGUUUAGCGUGUGUUUAGCGUGUGUUUAGCGUGUGUUUAACGUGUGUUUAGCGUGUGUUUAGUGUGCGUUUAGCGUGCGUUAGUGUGCGUUUAACGUGCGUUUAGCAUGCGUCCUAGGACUCAGCUCAUCACAGAUGCUGGUCAGGUCGUUACUUUGUGCUCUGUAGUUUCUAAUUUGUAGUUUAAUUUCACUUUGUGGUAUUAUUACCCUGCAUGUGUAAAGAGACGGAAUCUGAUGUGCGCUGUACUGCUCCUGAAUCCAGGUUUAGGAUUAGACCAGGAGAACAUGUUGUGUUCCAGCGGAACCUUAAGCAGAAGUUCCACCUCAUCAUGAUAACACACAGAUGAAUCGUACUGUUUGGAGUUUUAACUUUUUGAAUGUUUGUUGAGGUUUUUUUUUGCGUGUUUCGCCUUCUCUAACAUUCGAUGCGCAGCUCUUAACGUUGUUCUCGAGGAGUUUGAUGUAACGGUGAUGUUAAUGUCACUGUGCUGGUGUGAUCAUACGAUUGUUUUCAAAUCAUUUCCCACAGCACUGUUCAUGUGGAGAUGAUUCAAAACGAAAUAUCUGUACACGUGUGGACGAGGCCUCAGACACAUAGUAAGAGAAAAGUGGACACCAACUGAUGAUGUCAUCAAUGCCUAUGAUGUGAGAGUGACCUAAACAACCCAGCAACAAUCCCCCUAAUCCUGUAAUAUAAUAUAAUACAGACAGCUGCUUGAUAAUAGUUUUGGUUCUCUAUCACCAGUCGUGACUCACGUGAACAACCUCCUGGUGCAGGCGCGAAUACAUCUUGCUCAAAGUUAAUUUGGUAGAAAUGAACACAAAUUGUUCUCUGAAAUGCUUUGUUAGCAUACGUCCUGUUUUUCAGACCUUAAAAAAGGGUCUAAAUUCGAGAAAAUGUCCGUGAUUCAGCUUUAGUUUCAUUAUGAUGUGUUUAUGGUCUGAUACUGCAUCAUGUGUGCGCAUGAUUGCAUCACUUUCACCCCUCUCUGUAAGCCCCGCCUCCUCGCACACACAAAAGAAUGAAGGAAAAAAACGUAAAACGUAGGCGGAGUGAAACCAAUUUUACUUACAAAUAUUUAUGUGAUGCUAAUAGUGUGUCUUUUUUACUGUAUUAAAGUCUGCAUUUAUAGUAACACUGUUCCGAACGCUAUUAAGACCCCCCCACACACACACACACACACACACACACGCACACGCACACCGCAAAUAAAUAAAUAAAUAAAUAAAUAAAACGUUUCCUCUUUUUGGAAAGCCAGAAUAUGGUCACGCUAAUUACUGUGAUGUGACCCGCAUCAGGGACAGUGACUCUUAUUCAUUCAUUCAUUUAUUUAUUUAUUUAAAACAAAUCCAAAUAUUGAACAUGUUUAAGCUCUAAAAUUAGCUCUCAAUAAAAGUAUUUUAGAUCAUACUGCUUUUCUCGUGACUUUAUUUACAUGUGAGCUUGAACUAAUCCAAAAAUAAUCAGAUUACUUUCUUACUGUGAGACUCGGAUUACGUUACUGAGGACAUUUUUUAUGAAGUCAUUUAUAACUGUAAUGGAAUAAAUUAUUUAAGUGACCUUCCAAACCCUGUUUCUGACGUUCACCAACCUGAGACAGUCCUCGUUCUGACUCAGAGUCAGAUCUAAACUUAAACACAGACACGAGGUCUGAUCUCAGACCAGCGACAAACAUGCAGCAGUGAAAACAACACAAUAAACUUAAUACAAAGCUGAACCUGUGACAUGUUUUCACUUUAGAGAACACUCCUCAUUCACUUUUACACACACACACACACACACACACACACACACACACACACACACACAUUCACAUACUCACACACACACACACACACACAUACACUCACACACGCACACACAUACACUCACACACGCACACACAUUCACAUACUCACACACACACACACACACAUACACUCACACACGCACACAUGCACACUCAGACAUGCACACACACACUCACUCACACAUUCACACACACACAUGUACACUCACACACACAGACACACACACACACACACACUCGCACCCUCGCACACACACACACACACACACACACACACACACACACACACACUCACACACACACAUGCACACACACC
ensembl:lncRNA